rnacentral:rRNA from 1 species
GACGAACGCUGGCGGCGUGCCUAAUACAUGCAAGUAGAACGCUGAAGGAGGAGCUUGCUUCUCCGGAUGAGUUGCGAACGGGUGAGUAACGCGUAGGUAACCUGCCUGGUAGCGGGGGAUAACUAUUGGAAACGAUAGCUAAUACCGCAUAAGAGUAGAUGUCGCAUGACAUUUGCUUAAAAGGUGCAACUGCACCACUACCAGAUGGACCUGCGUUGUAUUAGCUAGUUGGUGAGGUAACGGCUCACCAAGGCAACGAUACAUAGCCGACCUGAGAGGGGGAUCGGCCACACUGGGACUGUGACACGGCCCAGACUCCUACGGGAAGCAGCAGUAGGGCAUCUUCGGCAAUGGACGGAAGUCUGACCGAGCAACGCCGCGUGAGUGAAGAAGGUUUUCGGAUCGUAAAGCUCUGUUGUAAGAGAAGAACGAGUGUGAGAGUGGAAAGUUCACACUGUGACGGUAUCUUACCAGAAAGGGACGGCUAACUACGUG